AAAGGCUGCCCUUACUUUUUUCCUCCUCCCUCUCCCCCUCCCUCUUCCCUCCUCUCUUUUUUUCUCAAUGGAUGUCCUCUCUCUAACCUCAAUUGAGAGCUGUGUAACAGGACACUGCGAUAGGCUCGGCCCCCCUCUUUAACAGCCGCAUUAUAAGAGAGAGCAGCCCCGCUCCUGAGUGUGUGUGAGAGAGUACGUCCGACAGUGUCAGUCAGUCAGGGGGCUGAGGAGAGAAGAAAGGGUGAAGGGUGAGAGAAAAAGAGAGUAAAGAGAGAAAAGAGAGAGAGACUGCUUUGAAACAUGUGAUAGUGCAACUUUGGCGGGGCGUAUAGGGAUUGUAACGGCUGUAGUGUCUCCAGAGCUCUGGGAAAGCACCUUUAGCCCAGAGGGAGACACACACACACUCACACACACGCUGUGUGUGAGUGUGUGUGUGAGCCGGCUAUGUAGUGCUGCUGCUGUCACUUUAAGCCUGUUACUGAUUACACUCAGAAGAAUGCAACAGGAGGAGGGGAAAAAAGACAGAUGAGAAGACAUGUAAGGAUGAAGUUUUAGGAGUUGAGCGCCAGCAAGUUUGGUGUGACAUAGCCACGGACAGUGACGUGGGUGAGAAGUUGUUACCCAAUAGUGUCUCUCCCUUUCUCUCUCUCUCUUUUUAACUCACUGUUGGACCAAAGUUAAAGUAAAAGGGGAACCCGGAGUCCCUCUGCAAGGAAGGCACAGAGCAAAGGACACCCAGAAACGGAGGAAAAACUAAAAGAAAGACUCCACAGAAAAAGAAAUCGAGGGGAUGGGGUGGGGGUUCCCCCGUUCCACGCUCAGCGCCAGCCGGGAGAAAAACACUACACUCACCCACACGGGUUUGCUGAGCCUGCCCUGAUAACUCCCAAACACCGUUGAACAACCACGUGUUUCCAAAGCCCCUUCAAGGAGAGGUAAGGAAGUCAUUCAUUCGUUCAGAUUUUUUCAGCAAAA